rnacentral:rRNA from 1 species
UACGGAGGGUGCAAGCGUUUAUCCGGAUUCACUGGGUUUAAAGGGUGCGUAGGUGGGCAGGUAAGUCAGUGGUGAAAUCUCCGGGCUUAACCCGGAACUGCCGUUGAUACUAUUUGUCUUGAAUAUUGUGGAGGUAAGCGGAAUAUGUCAUGUAGCGGUGAAAUGCUUAGAUAUGACAUAGAACACCAAUUGCGAAGGCAGCUUACUAUGGAUUUGAUUGACACUGAGGUCACGAA